ensembl:lncRNA
CUUAACAUCAGUAACACACACACACUCUCAUGCACACAGUAAGGUGAAUUGAAUGAAGACUUUUCUCGUUUUGAAGUAUGAAUCUAAAUGAGUCAAAUCAGACUCAUCCCUUUAAUUAAAAUGAGGGAGGUCGUAUAAGAUCAAACACAGAGCUGAAAUAGCCUCUCACUGUUACCAAGUGAGAACCUGCGUCGAGUUUUACUAAUUAGCUCACCUGCCGCAGCUCGCCUGCCAAGUGUUUUUCUUAAUUAGUCAAUUGGUUGCAUCUGGUGCGUUUCACUUAAAAGGGAGCCGGACAGUACGUUGGAGUUCUCCACUGGCAGUGCAGCGUCUCCCAAACUCGAUUAAAGACUUUUUGAAGUAAGGAAGAGCAUCUCAUCUGGACCUGAUGUCUAUCAUGGAUAUGUAACUGCAAUUCUGUGAGUAUCCCAACUUGACCAUGAAGUUGAACUGCGAACUGUAAGUCAUUAGUUUCUCAUUACUCUUGGGCACAUUGAUGUAUUUUGGCUUCCUGGCGAGUUAAACUGUUAGCUGAAGGUUGAUCUGAGAAGUGAGGAUGUUUUAUUGGUUCAUGGGUUACUUAGAAGUUUGGUUUAUGUUGGUUUUAAUGGUUUGUUAAAACGGUUACAGGUUCCAAGUUAUCGUUGUAAACUGGUGUAAUGGGUUGGGUUCUGAUAUCUUCAGUCUUCUUUCCAGCUACUCUCCUGAGCUCUGCAUCUUCAUCACUUGAGUGUUGCUUUACUGAUGAGGUUGUGGUCUGAGUGAGCAGAGGUGCAUACUGGGAUACAGAGCUGUCUGAAGUCUACAGGUCUGUAGACACGCCCCCUCAGGGGAAACCGAGUGUUUGAGAAACCGUCUUGACGUCAGUUACCUGGACUAGAAUGUUCUUAAAGAUGGAGACGGGGAUUCAGAAGGAGAAAUACCAGGGGGAGAUGAGGGGGCUCCUCAUCUCAACCACUAAAACACAACUUCACUCUGACAGAGAACCAUGGAACACAUUCAACAGUCCCCUCCAGGCAUCGUGACUCCUCAGGAGCAGUUUCAUUACCAAUAAGGUCUUAUUUGGGCCCAUUCCAAGGUGGAUCCUGCUCCUCAAGAGCCACCCCCCUCCACUGGGUGGUCUUCUGAACAGAUGAUGUCCUUCCUGUCCUCAGGCUGACUAAAGCUGCACCGUUUGCAUCUGUGAAGGCCCCUCAAUCACUAAACCUCUGGACUACAAUCACAAGACUUCAGAGACGUUGAAUCAACCUUGUAGACGCCAAGAAUAAUCCAUCACCAAUGUGGGACGCCACUGAAGAAUGGUGUACAUAAUUUACUUCUCUGGAGACAUUGGUUGUUCUGUUCUGGGUGCCCUGGCAGGAGAGCUGGGGUUGGAUGAUGGAACGUUCUUUGGCAUGAGGUUUUUACCCUGCAUGAUUUGUUUGGCCUUUUAUGGCUCAGUGGUGUGUGUGUGUGUGUGUGUGUGUUGAGAUGGCUGAUUUUUGAGUAUCGCUAGGGUUCUACUGUGUGUGUCUCCGACUCACACCUGGCAUGGGGUUCUACGUGCCUGUUCUGUGUGUGUGUCCGGCUUGCUUCGACAGUGAUAAUGUUCAUACAGUGGUCUGUGUGAUUUGGCUUGGGAUAUUGGAAUGGUCAACUAAAUCAUACCUGAUGGACGGCCACAUGUUUACUUGAGGGCCUCCAGUGGACAUGAAGAACCCUGAGCGACACUCCGGAGCGAGAUCCAACACACUGGGCAGGAAGGAGAGUAUCCAACUCAAGUGUAAAAGGAUGCAAGCGACGUGUUCAGAUCAGUGACUUCAAACUAGGACUACACCAAUCAGGAUCAAUGGAGGAUGGACACCUAAAGGAAUUCCACAAGGAGUCUGACGUUGGAAAGGGACCUAAAUGGAUAUUCAAGAUGACCUUCAGACCUGUAAUGAGACGGCUCUUCCUACCUGGCUGGAUUGAUGGAGAGCCCUGUGGAUCUUGUCUUGCUCUGUUGCACGUCUUCUCAGGCUGAACUGUAUUUGUUUCGGACAGGACUAGCUGAACGAUUGGUUCCCUUAAAUCAGAACCAAUCUGGGAACUCCAACUAGUGCACUCUUCAAGCUGAAGUUGUGCUUUUCAGCUGAGGAGGUAAGGAAACCUUCACUGGGGCUUCAAGGUGUAAAGAGGAGACUGUUUCAAAGUGUUCUAUGGUACUCUGAUGAAGACCGUUGUUGUGUUCCACUGGCUGCGAGGAAGAACCCUCACAUCUUCCUCUUGGCCUUUCUCCUCUGAGAAUCCUGCCGCCAUCUUGAAGGAUAUUCUAGCGCAUGUAACUGAUGUCACGACAGAUUCUCGAACACUUGGUUUCUCCUGAGGGGCUUGUCUAUAGAACUGUAGACGUCAGACAGCACUGUAUCCCAGCAUGCAUCUCUGCUCACUCAGACCACAGCCCCAUGAGUAGGAUGCAACGCUCUAGUGAUGGAGUUGUAGAGUUUUAGAAGUAACGAGGGAGAAGACAAAGGUGAUUGGAACACAAUGGCAUGUCAAGUCUGUAAAUCUUUAAGCCAUGAAGAUGGUUGUAUAGUUCAGGAAUUGGGCUUUAUUUUAGUAUGGGCAGUCCUUAUUGAAUGAUUCCUUUGUUUUUAGGCAAGGAUUUGUUGUUGUGGGACGUACAUGGUAGUUUGGUUCUUCGUAUGGUUUUGAUUGAUAUAACUUGUACACACUGGGUGCAUAAUAAUUUAAAGGUACACUGAAUAGUAGUAAUGACCAACAGCAACAAACAGAUCUCCUCAAGGUAAGUCUGUUGGCUGUGUUUUCAUGAACAUCGCUGGACUUCAGGAUCUUCCUCCGUUCAGCUCAAGGUGAGGCGCUGGUUCUGUUGUUUCUUUGGUUGGUUCUGGCCGGAAUGUUCGUAUUCCAGUCGGACGGUUUGUGCUUCCCGCCGUGGAAGGUUUUGAGUGCGGUCACUUGAUUUAGUCCCAAUGGUUAGCAUAGAACGUUGUAGUCUUGACAACCAUUAGAAGCCACCUGGCAGUUAGUUGGACAGGAAUCUGGCUGAACGUUCUGGAUUAUAUUUGCGUAACCUCGAGCCGUUGCCAACGGAAACUAUUUUCAGUCGUUUCCAUUGGGAAUUGGUUUUCCCCUUAUCUUAAACAACUUAAGUUUGAUAUUAAAUACAUACUGACACGUACAUCGUAUGAUAUGUUAAUUUCCGAUGGUUGCGGCGUACUUUUAACCACGUUAACGGGACUCGCUGCGUACAAAACGGCGUUUUACUUGCGGGCCCAUUUCUGACAUCAGUGAAGGCUGAAAAACAUUUCAAGGUGGAAGGCAAUUUGACAUUUCUUCAACGGAACCCAGCACCUGAAUAUGGCGAGUAAAUUUGAUUUAAUAUCAAUACUGCUUAGUGUUCUUUGCUACUUCAGCUUUUGUACGUUCUAAAUAUCUGCCGUCAUUAAUUGCCACAGAAGUUAAACCCUACCUAAUGGAAUGACGUUAAACAACAACUUUGUUGCUGAAUUACCAACUGGAUAAUAUCAAAGCUAAAAUAAUGGCCGUCCUUCUCACGUGUUCCAGUAGAAGAUACUCUAUCUGUACAACUGUACAAGGUUAAAAAGGUAACAUGUAGUUUGUCCCAAGGUGUCCACCUCCUCACCCAGAGCAAGACCUCCACCUCAUCACCAAGAGCCAGACCUCCACCUCCUCACAAGUCCUCCAGAACAGCUGAAAGGCGAGGCUGAGAGGCUGGGGACCGGAGGCUUGUGGUGCCAGGAUGGACCGGAGACUGAGGCUGGAGACCAGGGGCCUGCAGCACCGGAUCAGAGGACCAGGAAUCCAUGGCUGAAGGAGUUGAUGGUGGAGGAGCUGAUGGAGGCCCUGCCUGGUGGAGGAGCUGAUGGAGGCCCUGCCUGGUGGAGAAGCCGUGCUGAAGGCCCUGCCUGGUGAAGGAGCUGGUGGAGGAGCUGGUGAAGGACCUGCCUGGUGGAGGACGUUUGUCGUGGGACCAGGAGUCUGUCUGAGGAGAGCUGCUGGAGGAGCUGAGACGCUGGAGGACGACUACGAAUCGACCAACAAGGAUUCCUCAACGUGUUUCUGGAGCGGAGGUGAGCUGGUAGGGGAGCCGUGAAUCUGGAGGAGGACCAUCACUCUACCAACAAGGAUUACCAGGACUCUGGCUGAGGAGAGCUGAUGGAGGAGCCAAGACUCUGGAGGACGACAUCACUCUAUCAACAAGGAUCCUCAGACAAAUGACGUUUGUAACCAGACCAGGAAUCUGGAGGACUGAUGGAGAAGCCGUACAUCUGGAAGGCAAAUCCUGAGGACAACCAGGACUCUACCUUCAAGGAUUCCCCACACACCUGAGCUGAACCUCACCUGAUCCUGUUUGUCGGGGGCAGACACACCUGAGCUGAACCCCAACUGAACCUGACAUCCUGCUGGUCCCGUCUCCUCGGUUCAUCUUAGCCUCGUCUUCCAGAAGACCUGCUGAGCUCAGCAGUCUGAGGCUGAUGUAUCAAUGACCUCCAGUGGGAGUGAUCUUCUUGACCCCACGUGUAACCGUGUGCUUCCACACGCCUUUCCCUCACGUCUGUCACUAACUUCACUACUCUCUACUGCUUCCUCUUCUUUUUCCUUCUCUGUGGUUCGAACCUUUACACGGAAGGCGCGUCUUCCUGCCCUCAGAGGGUUUAGCGUUAGGGUUGAGAGUCAGGGUUUAGAGUCAGGGACAGAGCUGGUCAGGGAGGACUGCUUUUACACAAACCUCUUCACUUGCUUUCGGAAUGGUGGUGACAUUUUGAAAAGAUUCAUUUGGGAGAAUGUUUUCCUCUGCUUUCCUUUGCAAAAAUAUGUAUUAAACUUGUCAAGUGUUUUUGUUUAUAUAAUAAAAUCCCACAUUGACUUCUGCAUGUUUGGUGCGGUUCAUUUAUUUGUCCUUUACCUUGGUUAAUGUCAAGCUAAACUCCUGCAAUACAUU